rnacentral:lncRNA from 1 species
UGUAGAUUUUUUUUACAGGUGCUUAUCUCUGAUGAUGGGCGCAACAGAUUGGCGCACCAAGUAGGGGGCAAUACAAGCAACCAUGGCAAAAAUCAGAGCUCAACAAUCAAUAAAAUCGAUGAGACAGUCUUUCCAUCGAGAAGAUGUUCCUCCUCCACCUCCAUUGAUAGAGUCCAACUUUUCACGUCCUGUGGUUACCACAGACGU